rnacentral:rRNA from 1 species
GGCCAGACUCCUACGGGAGGCAGCAGUGGGGAAUAUUGCACAAUGGGGGAAACCCUGAUGCAGCAACGCCGCGUGAGUGAAGAAGUCAUUCGUGAUGUAAAGCUCUAUCAGCAGGGAAGAAAAUGACGGUACCUGAGUAAGAAGCCCCGGCUAACUACGUGCCAGCAGCCGCGGUAAUACGUAGGGGGCAAGCGUUAUCCGGAUUUACUGGGUGUAAAGGGAGCGUAGGCGGCCACGCAAGUCAGAAGUGAAAACCCGGGGCUCAACCCUGGGAGUGCUUUUGAAACUGUGCGGCUAGAGUGUCGGAGGGGUAAGUGGAAUUCCUAGUGUAGCGGUGAAAUGCGUAGAUAUUAGGAGGAACACCAGUGGCGAAGGCGGCUUACUGGACGAUGACUGACGCUGAGGCUCGAAAGCGUGGGGAGCAAACAGGAUUAGAUACCCCUGUA